rnacentral:rRNA from 1 species
ACGUACACUCCUACGGGAGGCAGCAGUGGGGAAUAUUGCACAAUGGGCGCAAGCCUGAUGCAGCCAUGCCGCGUGUAUGAAGAAGGCCUUCGGGUUGUAAAGUACUUUCAGCGGGGAGGAAGGCGAUAAGGUUAAUAACCUUGUUGAUUGACGUUACCCGCAGAAGAAGCACCGGCUAACUCCGUGCCAGCAGCCGCGGUAAUACGGAGGGUGCAAGCGUUAAUCGGAAUUACUGGGCGUAAAGCGCACGCAGGCGGUCUGUCAAGUCGGAUGUGAAAUCCCCGGGCUCAACCUGGGAACUGCAUUCGAAACUGGCAGGCUAGAGUCUUGUAGAGGGGGGUAGAAUUCCAGGUGUAGCGGUGAAAUGCGUAGAGAUCUGGAGGAAUACCGGUGGCGAAGGCGGCCCCCUGGACAAAGACUGACGCUCAGGUGCGAAAGCGUGGGGAGCAAACAGGAUUAGAAACCCCGGUAGUCCCAUGAU